GCGCUACAGAACGCCGCCUUCACCGCUCUCAAGGUGCUCAACGCCGGCAUCCCAACUUUACUAUAUGGAAUUGGCUCCUGGUUCUUUGUCAGUGUCACAGAGACUGUUCAUACAAGUCAUGGCCCAGUUACUAUUUAUUUUCUAAAUAAAGAAGAUGAAGGCGCAAUGUACUGAAAUCAUGCCCUCGAGUACCUGUCAUUUGGUGGGUUUCUGUGUUACAGCUGCUACAAAUAUCAACUUUUGACUAAAAAGAACUGAAGGCAACUUUUUUUUUUUUUCAGUGCAUUAUUUUACUUAACAUGCUGUCUUUAGGAAGCUUCACGGACUUUUUGGUCAUAAGAGAUUUAUUUUUGCAGAGGUCAGUAAAGUUGAAAAAGUAGAAGCCUUAGGAGAAGAAUUAAUAUUUCUAAGGGUAUUAGAAUUUAUAGAAAUCAGCGACUAGUACUGCUGAAAAAGCAUGAUAAUUUAAAGAGAUACAUCUAAUAAUUUAAAGAACUGAAUUGUAGCAUGUGGGCAAGGAAACUGUGAAUACACUAGACAUUUUCAGAAUGUCUCUGGAAAGAUUAAGCUGCUUAGGUUUAGACUAAACAUUUCAUAAUGCAUUGAUUGUCAUAGUUGCAAGCACGUUGGAAUGGAUCCAUGGCACUGUCUCUUCACUGCCUGGAAGACUCUGGAAAAAUACCACCCUAAGUUAAAAAUGGCUGUAUCACAUUUCUUCAAAUUAUAUUUAAAUAAAAUAUCUAAAAUAACGUCUUAUGCUUGUAUCUUUUGCAAUUCUUGAACUCUAGAUAGUCUGCAUUAUUUUUUUUUUCUUUUGGUUGCUUUAUAGGUAAGUAACAAAACCUAAGUAAUCUACAAGAUUGUCCCUUGAGCUAAUUUACAAAUUGCUGAUAUUUUUAAUUAAUGCAGGAGAGUGAGGAGAAUACCACCCUCAUUUUUUUUGAUGAAGAAUAACCGUUUUUUUCAGCUGUAACUGAACACAGCUGUAACAGGCACAUAUAAUGAUGGAAUGGCAAAUUCAGUUAGAAACCUGGGCAAAGAAAAAGCUUUUAGGGAAUUAUUUGGAUAGUGGAAAUAUGGAAUUAUUGGAUAGUAAGUUCAAACAACAGAAACACCUGUACAGGAUAUAUUAACUGGUGCUUAGUGUUAGUGCCAACAAAUAAUGCUGUCUAUUCCAAAUCCCAUGUCUGAUGAUGUAAGAUUAUUCCAGUUUUCAUAAGUAGGAAGAUAAAUGUGAAAUUGGUAGGUACUGUUUUUGGAGGGUAAUCACUGUUCCUAAAUAAAUGAUUAUCAAGCUAUGACUACAGUAUAAUUUCAUCUAAAUACUUUUUUACUUAGUUCCAGAUAAUGGAACUGUUUCCCACUUAAUGAAGCAAUACAUGUGUUUUUUCUAAAAGCAACACUAAAUAACACUUUAAUCAGAGAAUUGCUUGCACUGUUCUAUUUAAUUUCAGAGUAUAUUCUUGAUGCAAGUUAAAUGGGUCUCAAAGAUGAAGUGACGGUAUUAUAAGAAGCCUCAUUAAUAAUAGAAAUGAUUGAACUCCAAAACGACCUUUCUAACUUUUUACAGAUUUGAUCUGUGCCAUCUCCAUUUGAAAUAAAGUGUAGUUUACCUUGGAAGUCUUGCCUUAAUCAUCUCUUUACUGUAUUCAAGAAUGAUGUUUAAAUGAGUGAGAGAUGACAUAAAAAGGUAGAGAGCUUUGUUUCACCUCAGUUAACAAUUCCUUCAGAUAAAUGAAACCUUAGUCUAAACCUGGAGGAUCAGGUAGCUGCUACUUGUAGCAGUCUUUUUAAACAGUAAUGACUACUGGGGGCAUCUUAACCUAAACGAGCGCUUAGCAUUACAUCUUACCUAGGUCAAUGGUCUCAGGUAUCUGAGUUAAACUGUGUUACUGUAAAUUAAUGGAAAAUGUAACUGUGCUUUGCUGAAAGAUCAAUGUCCAAUAAAGGCUGCACAAUCAAAUCUUGUUGCAAUGAUUGAGGUCCUUAAUUGCCUUUCAAAGAUAAGGUGGUAAUCAACAUAGGUUUAACUGAUCUUUUUUACCAGUUCAAUUACAUGCUAAUGACUACAGCCAAGUCAGGAUCUUUAACUACUUAUUAAAUCUUACGUUU